AUUGAACGCUGGCGGAAUGCUUUACACAUGCAAGUCGAACGAUGAACCUUAGCUUGCUAAGGGGAUUAGUGGCGAACGGGUGAGUAAUAUAUCGGAACGUGCCUUGUAAUGGGGGAUAACUAGUCGAAAGAUUAGCUAAUACCGCGUACGCCCUGAGGGGGAAAGUAGGGGAUCUUCGGACCUUACGUUAUAAGAGCGGCCGAUAUCUGAUUAGCUAGUUGGUGGGGUAAUGGCCUACCAAGGCGACGAUCAGUAGCUGGUCUGAGAGGACGACCAGCCACACUGGAACUGAGACACGGUCCAGACUCCUACGGGAGGCAGCAGUGGGGAAUUUUGGACAAUGGGCGCAAGCCUGAUCCAGCCAUUCCGCGUGAGUGAAGAAGGCCUUCGGGUUGUAAAGCUCUUUCGCAAGGGAAGAAAACUUACCAUCGAAUAAAUGGUGAGGCUGACGGUACCUGGAUAAGAAGCACCGGCUAACUACGUG
rnacentral:rRNA from 1 species